rnacentral:tRNA from 1 species
GCGGGCGUGGCUCAGUGGUAAAGCGCAACCUUGCCAAGGUUGAAAUCGCGGGUUCGAUCCCCGUCGCCCGCUCCA